UUAGUUAAUUCAUUUCCUUACAACAAAGUCUGGCCAAUCAUUUCCCCGAGCUGCCGUUGUUGCCACACAUUGAUUGCUCAAGUACGAAGGAGAAGAUGACACAACGGGCCCCUCGGUCCGCCCACAGCUCGGAGAGGUAGAGAGAGAGAGACUGCAUGACAUCGCAGUAUUGGAUUUUUAUUUUAUUUCAUGGUUUUUCCGAUUGUUAGGGUUUAAUGUAAUUACCUCGGGCAGCACAGACAGAGUCGGAGGGGACUGUACAGUAGUCGAAGAAGAAGAAGAAGGCCCGUGGUCGAGGCGGCAAAACCUUGUCCGACCUAUACGAGGAAGAUCUCGUUCCAGAAGAUGAAUGUGAAUCUGAUGUUGACUGCACAGAGAGUUGGGCCCUCUGGAGCAAACACACGGACGGUGUUGGUCUUCCACACCCGGCGGCCCCUACCUGAGCAGACUGGAGAGCGGGUGAGAGGAGGCGCCGUGCCCGCCGCCGGCGCCGCUUCCCCCGGUGCCCGACAGCCCGCUCCCGGUGCCGGCGGUCUGCCGCUUCCCGGAGAGGAGCUUCUCCACCGCGGCCAGGUUCCCCGUGCGCGCCGCUUCGAGGAGCUCCUGCUCCUUCCCCAUCGCGGAAUCCCGGGAAAAACACAACAGGAGGAGGACGAGGGAGGAGGAGGAGG